rnacentral:rRNA from 1 species
CCUACGGGUGGCAGCAGUGAGGAAUAUUGGUCAAUGGGCGCGAGCCUGAACCAGCCAAGUCGCGUGAGGGAAGACGGUCCUAUGGAUUGUAAACCUCUUUUGUCGGGGAGCAAAAGACGCCACGCGUGGCGUUCCGAGAGUACCAGAAGAAAAAGCAUCGGCUAACUCCGUGCCAGCAGCCGCGGUAAUACGGAGGAUGCGAGCGUUAUCCGGAUUUAUUGGGGUUAAAGGGUGCGAAGGGGGAAGUUAAGGUCAGUGGUAAAAUUGAGAGGCUCAACCUCUUAGAGCCGUUGAAACUGGUUUUCUUGAGUGAAUGAGAGGUAUGCGGAAUGCGUGGUGUAGCGGUGAAAUGCAUAGAUAUCACGCAGAACUCCGAUUGCGAAGGCAGCAUACCGGCGCUCAACUGACGCUGAUGCACGAAAGUGUGGGUAUCGAACAGGAUUAGAUACCCGAGUAGUC